UCUAGUGGUUUUAUAACAAAAACUACAUUAUUCAUUUUUUAACUCUUAUGCUCUGAUCGUUAAUAUUCAACUUUAAUCUCUCGAUGUAACAGCCUGUUAAAGAAGAAAUUUGUCGAUGGGAAGAUGGACUUGUCAUAAAAGGGGAGACAUGUCGAGUAGGUGCUACUUAGCCAGAUAAAUUCCAGAGAAAGGGCAAGAGCCGAGCGUGUGGUGGGAAAGGACCAGCAACAUGGAGAGGUGGAAUUGGACGCUUACUCAAACAUCCAGAGGUAGCCAACUUUUCCAAGACAUUUCUUGCAGACUCCAGUCUCACCUUCUGUGAUGUGUUCACCAUCGACAGUGGAACAAGGUUGGUCUAUUUUAGUAUCAUUCAUUUUCCUAGCUUAGUCUUAAACAGCUAAUGUACAUGCAUGUUUGGUAAAUUAAUUUGCUGCCACAUUAAAUAACAUCCAAUAUUUAGAAGCCAACAGCAUAUAGCUACUAAAGCCAUUUAUUUUAGCAUUGUCCACACGUUUAUGACAAUGAGGAUACAUUCAGGAUUGGUGUCUGACCAGGGUGUACUCUUCUUGUAAGCCCUGCUUUAUCACUCAACAUUUUUCUUUUAUGACUCUUAAUCAA